rnacentral:rRNA from 1 species
UCGAACGAUGAUGCCCAGCUUGCUGGGUGGAUUAGUGGCGAACGGGUGAGUAACACGUGAGUAACCUGCCCCUGACUCUGGGAUAAGCGUUGGAAACGACGUCUAAUACUGGAUAUGAUCACUGGCCGCAUGGUCUGGUGGUGGAAAGAUUUUUUGGUUGGGGAUGGACUCGCGGCCUAUCAGCUUGUUGGUGAGGUAAUGGCUCACCAAGGCGACGACGGGUAGCCGGCCUGAGAGGGUGACCGGCCACACUGGGACUGAGACACGGCCCAGACUCCUACGGGAGGCAGCAGUGGGGAAUAUUGCACAAUGGGCGAAAGCCUGAUGCAGCAACGCCGCGUGAGGGAUGACGGCCUUCGGGUUGUAAACCUCUUUUAGUAGGGAAGAAGCGAAAGUGACGGUACCUGCAGAAAAAGCACCGGCUAACUACGUGCCAGCAGCCGCGGUAAUACGUAGGGUGCAAGCGUUGUCCGGAAUUAUUGGGCGUAAAGAGCUCGUAGGCGGUUUGUCGCGUCUGCUGUGAAAUCCCGAGGCUCAACCUCGGGCUUGCAGUGGGUACGGGCAGACUAGAGUGCGGUAGGGGAGAUUGGAAUUCCUGGUGUAGCGGUGGAAUGCGCAGAUAUCAGGAGGAACACCGAUGGCGAAGGCAGAUCUCUGGGCCGUAACUGACGCUGAGGAGCGAAAGCAUGGGGAGCGAACAGGAUUAGAUACCCUGGUAGUCCAUGCCGUAAACGUUGGGCGCUAGAUGUAGGGACCUUUCCACGGUUUCUGUGUCGUAGCUAACGCAUUAAGCGCCCCGCCUGGGGAGUACGGCCGCAAGGCUAAAACUCAAAGGAAUUGACGGGGGCCCGCACAAGCGGCGGAGCAUGCGGAUUAAUUCGAUGCAACGCGAAGAACCUUACCAAGGCUUGACAUACACCGGAAACGGCCAGAGAUGGUCGCCCCCUUGUGGUCGGUGUACAGGUGGUGCAUGGUUGUCGUCAGCUCGUGUCGUGAGAUGUUGGGUUAAGUCCCGCAACGAGCGCAACCCUCGUUCUAUGUUGCCAGCGGGUUAUGCCGGGGACUCAUAGGAGACUGCCGGGGUCAACUCGGAGGAAGGUGGGGAUGACGUCAAAUCAUCAUGCCCCUUAUGUCUUGGGCUUCACGCAUGCUACAAUGGCCGGUACAAAGGGCUGCGAUACCGUAAGGUGGAGCGAAUCCCAAAAAGCCGGUCUCAGUUCGGAUUGAGGUCUGCAACUCGACCUCAUGAAGUCGGAGUCGCUAGUAAUCGCAGAUCAGCAACGCUGCGGUGAAUACGUUCCCGGGCCUUGUACACACCGCCCGUCAAGUCAUGAAAGUCGGUAACACCCGAAGCCGGUGGCCUAACC